rnacentral:rRNA from 1 species
AACGAACGCUGGCGGCAGGCUUAACACAUGCAAGUCGAACGGGUGUAGCAAUACAUCAGUGGCAGACGGGUGAGUAACACGUGGGAACCUUCCUCGUUGUACGGGACAACUCAGGGAAACUUGAGCUAAUACCGUAUACGUCCGAGAGGAGAAAGAUUUAUCGCAAUGAGACGGGCCCGCGUCGGAUUAGCUAGUUGGUAGGGUAACGGCCUACCAAGGCGACGAUCCGUAGCUGAUCUGAGAGGAUGAUCAGCCACACUGGGACUGAGACACGGCCCAGACUCCUACGGGAGGCAGCAGUGGGGAAUCUUGGACAAUGGGCGCAAGCUUGAUCCAGCCAUGCCGCGUGAGUGAAGAAGGCCUUAGGGUUGUAAAGCUCUUUUGCCAGGGACGAUAAUGACGGUACCUGGAGAAUAAGCCCCGGCAAACUUCGUGCCAGCAGCCGCAGUAAGAC